AUUGAACGCUGGCGGCAGGCCUAACACAUGCAAGUCGAGCGAGCGGCGGACGGGUGAGUAAUGCCUGGGAAUUGCCCAGUCGAGGGGGAUAACAGUUGGAAACGACUGCUAAUAUCGCAUACGCAUGGAUUGCCCAGGGGGGAUUAGCUAGUUGGUGAGGUAAUGGCUCACCAAGGCGACGAGCCCUAGCGGGUCUGAGAGGAGGAUCAGCCACACUGGAACUGAGACACGGUCCAGACUCCUAGGGGAGGCAGAAGUGGGGAAUAGUGCACAAUGGGGGAAACCCUGAUGCAGCCAUGCGUCGUGUGUGAAGAAGGCCUUCGGGUUGUAAAGCACUUUCAGCGAGGAGGCGUUACUCGCAGAAGAAGCACCGGCGAACCCCGUGCCAGCAGCCGCGGUAAUUC
rnacentral:rRNA from 1 species